rnacentral:lncRNA from 1 species
CCGCCGCUCCAGACCCCGGAGGAGGGCAGCGCGACCCUCCCCAUCUUGUUACUGGUACUCAGCCACUGGGGACACUGACUGAAUGUUCGCCCCUAACUUACCCGGAAAACACGAGAACUAGUUCGAUGUCGUUUCAACCUUACCAAACUCUGCGGAAACUUAGGAAAUUAUCUUUAGUGUCUAGAUAGGGGAAUUGUUAGAUGGACUUGAAGUCUCUCACCUCCUGUUGUACGCCUCCCGGAAGCAACACCAGGAGUCCAACGGGAUCCCAAACCAGAGCCCAACCAGUAUCCUAUAAAGUCUUCAGAGAGGGAUCCCCUCCAGGCUGGGGAGAAACAGGACAACCUAACAAAACAGGGCCUGGACUCCUCCCUAAACAGACCACGUUUUUCUCCGCUCUUCCCCUUCCCACUCCCUGAAAUCUAGACUAAAACUCUUUUAAGAUAACUGCGAGGUAUAAAGAACGUCUAGAGCCUAAGCGGCCCGUUGCCAGAUUCUACUCCUCAGGCCUCAAAUGUGAGCGCCCCAAACAUUCUAGAGCUGAACCUGGAAACACUUGUUGCUUGACUGAUACAUUAUGGCGGGAUGGACACGACAGCACCUUAUCCUGCAUUAAUAUUGCAUUGCAACUAGAAAGAAAACCAGUGGAGGCGGGCAAGGCCCCCGAUCACGUGAUACCGCCCCCCAACUCCGGGCGGAAGAGGCCAGCGACAGCGCUGCACGAAGCGAGUGGGCGGGCGCUCGUGCCCGGCUAAAAGAUGGCUGCUGGCGCCUGGCAGCCACCGCCUGGGAGGUUACUGUAAGGCCCGCAGCUCCCGCCAGCUCCCGCGGACUGCUGCCGCCUCCUUACCAUGAAGCCAGUAAGUCGUCGCACGCUGGACUGGAUUUAUUCAGUGGUAAGUCCCGGGGAUCGCGGGCCCCCACCGUGUCGACUCACUGGGCCCGCAGGCGGAAAGGCCCUAUUUCUUCAGCACCCAGAAACUCCAAAAUCCAUUCCUGAAUUAAGCAUUUCACUCCCUCACCUCGACUCCGCCUCUUCCUGGAGGAUACGAUCUUCCGCUUCUUACGUAAGGGCUGCUGGGUGUACCCGCCACUGGAACCCCAUUUAUUCGACUUUGUUACUUUAAUUCCCACCUUAGCAAUGGCAACGGUAACCUGACGGGGGCGAGGGGAAAUAUCAGGUAGAUUUCACACCUCCUUUGCGAUUUUUGGUUUAGUUGCUGCUUGCCAUCGUUUUAAUCUCCUGGGGCUGCAUCAUCUAUGCUUCGAUGGUGUCUGCAAGACGACAGCUAAGGAAGAAAUACCCAGACAAAAUCUUUGGGACGAAUGAAAAUUUGUAACUCUUCUGGAUUUAAUUAUCUGAAAAUACAGUUCUUUCCCUCAUGCUUAUGUAGAUAUAAAAAUAAAAUUCAUAAUGCAAAGUUCACAGUCAAGAAGGAUGGAGCUGCCCAUUUGCCAUGGAAAUGGAGAGCCAGCAGACAGCUGAUGCAUAAACAACUUGUCCCUCAAACAAGAGUGGCUAACUUCAGCCAUGACACCGUUUUAGUAUGGUGACCACACCACAUGAGCAAACCAAAUACUGGUAAAACCAGAGAACAGAAGAAUUCCUCAGCUCAGGACAAUUCUUAUCCCUACUGACGACUCACAAGACAUCCAGUUCCAGGUCCAGAAGAGGAGCCUGCUCUCCCUGUUACUGUAGGGGUUGAUGGAGUAUCUUGACAAGCAGCCGUCCAUGUCGAAGGGACCCUGGCAGGAGAACUAGCCUUCCGGUGUGCAGAGACGGCUGCCACCCUUGGCUCCUCUGUUGUAUAGCUGCCGUCGUACUGCACAGACUGGAGCUUCUGGCACAUGGAGCGGAGGACCCGCAGGAAUUCCUCCUGAGCCUCUGCACCCACCAUGGAGGAGCAGGAGCUCACCUCUCUCAGGUAACUCCGGAUCCGGCUUUCACAGCUGUAUCUCAGAUAGCCAGACUUAUUCCAAAAUCGGGACUCCAAGCCUUCAAACCACAGCGGGUCCUCAGCCCGGGUGUCGGCUGCGACGUUCUGGCUGACGUUGUACAGGAGGUCGGCCAGCAGUCUCUGCCUCUGUGGGGGCCUGCUCAUCACACAGUAGCUGCCGGGCGGCCUGGAUGAGCCACGCGUGCGGCUGGCGAAAAGCACUGAGGAAGCACCCGAUGUCACUCACAUAGCCCUGCCAGGCCUGGCGUGAGGUGAGCAGCACCAGCUCGGCAUCGUCGAGGACGCUUCGGUCAGCUCCAUGCCAUCCUCGUACG